rnacentral:rRNA from 1 species
CCUACGGGAGGCAGCAGUGGGGAAUAUUGGACAAUGGGCGAAAGCCUGAUCCAGCCAUGCCGCGUGUGUGAAGAAGGCCUUCGGGUUGUAAAGCACUUUCAGUGGGGAAGAAAGCCUUGGGGCUAAUACCCUCGAGGAAGGACAUCACCCACAGAAGAAGCACCGGCUAACUCCGUGCCAGCAGCCGCGGUAAUACGGAGGGCGCGAGCGUUAAUCGGAAUUACUGGGCGUAAAGCGCGCGUAGGCGGUCUGAUAAGCCGGUUGUGAAAGCCCCGGGCUCAACCUGGGAACGGCAUCCGGAACUGUCAGGCUAGAGUGCAGGAGAGGAAGGUAGAAUUCCCGGUGUAGCGGUGAAAUGCGUAGAGAUCGGGAGGAAUACCAGUGGCGAAGGCGGCCUUCUGGACUGACACUGACGCUGAGGUGCGAAAGCGUGGGUAGCAAACAGGAUUAGAUACCCUGGUAGUC